GGUUAAGUCAGGCAACGAGCGAGAUCCGCACCUUUAUUUGCCAACAAGAAGUCACGACUUCGUUGGGAACACUAAAGGGACCGCCGUCGAUAAGACGGAGGAAGGAGCGGGCAAAGGCAGGUCAGUAUGCCCCGAAACCCCUGGGCUACACGCGGGCUGCAAUGGUAUGAACAAUGGGCUGUGACUCCGAAAGGAGAAACCAAUCCCGAAAUCAUAUCUCAGUUGGAAUUGUCGGCUGUAACCCGCCGACAUGAACGUGGAAUCCCUAGUAAUCGUGUGUCAUCAUCGCACGGUGAAUACGUCCCUGCUCCUUGCACAAA
rnacentral:rRNA from 1 species